AACGUAGGAGACAAACGUUAUCCGGAGUUACUGGGCGUAAAGGGCGUGUAGGUGGUUUCGUAAGUCUGGCGUGAAAUAUCUCGGCUUAACCGAGGCAGGUCGUCGGAUACUGCGGAACUAGAGGACGGUAGAGGCGUGUGGAAUUCCGGGUGUAGCGGUGGAAUGCAUAGAGAUCCGGAAGAACACCGGUGGCGAAGGCGGUUGGCUGGGCCGUUGCUGACACUGAUGCGCGACAGCGUGGGGAGCAAACAGG
rnacentral:rRNA from 1 species